GCACAAGCGGUGGAGUAUGUGGUUUAAUUCGAUGCAACGCGAAGAACCUUACCUGGUCUUGACAUCCCGGAGACCCUUAGGAAACUAGGGGUGCUUCCAUCUGGAAGAAUCUGGAGACAGGUGCUGCAUGGCUGUCGUCAGCUCGUGCCGUGAGGUGUCGGGUUAAGUCCCAUAACGAGCGCAACCCCUACCUUUAGUUGCCAUCAGGUUAAGCUGGGGACUCUAAAGGAACUGCCUACGCAAGUAGUGAGGAAGGCGGGGAUGACGUCAAAUCAGCACGGCCCUUACGUCCAGGGCUACACACGUGCUACAAUGGCCGAUACAGAGGGCAGCUACCUGGUGACAGGAUGCAAAUCUCCAAAGUCGGUCUCAGUUCGGAUCGGAGUCUGCAACCCGACUCCGUGAAGUUGGAUUCGCUAGUAAUCGCGCAUCAGCCAUGGCGCGGUGAAUACGUUCCCGGGCCUU
rnacentral:rRNA from 1 species